rnacentral:misc_RNA from 1 species
AAGAGUUGCAAGACUCCCCUAAACCAUCGCGAACCCACCUCUGAACAGUUGCUUCGGCGGGCCGGCCCUCCCCCGGGGGGGCCCGCCCGAGUGCCCGCCGAAGGUACCCAAAUCAUUGUUUCCCACAGGCCGCUCUGAGUAUCGUACUUAAACAAGUCA